rnacentral:rRNA from 1 species
UACGUAGGUGGCAAGCGUUGUCCGGAUUUACUGGGCGUAAAGAGCGCGCAGGCGGUCGUUCAAGUCGCGUGUGAAAGCCCCCGGCUCAACUGGGGAGGGUCACGCGAUACUGAUCGACUCGAAGGCAGGAGAGGGUAGUGGAAUUCCUGGUGUAGCGGUGAAAUGCGCAGAUAUCAGGAAGAACACCCGUGGCGAAGGCGGUUCUCUGGGACGGUACUGACGCUGAGACGCGAAAGCGUGGGGAGCGAACAGG